UACGGAAGGGGCUAGCGUUGUUCGGAAUUACUGGGCGUAAAGAGCGCGUAGGCGGCUUACCAAGUUGGGGGUGAAAUCCCGGAGCUCAACUCCGGAACUGCCUUCAAAACUGGUAGGCUCGAGUCCGGAAGAGGGGCGUGGAAUUCCCAGUGUAGAGGUGAAAUUCGUAGAUAUUGGGAAGAACACCGGUGGCGAAGGCGGCGCCCUGGUCCGGUACUGACGCUGAUGCGCGAAAGCGUCGGGAGCCAACAGG
rnacentral:rRNA from 1 species